ensembl:misc_RNA Metazoa_SRP Metazoan signal recognition particle RNA
GCCAGGCAUGGUGGCGCAAGCCUGUAAUCCCCGCUACUGGGAGGCUGAGGUAGGAGAAUUGCUUGAACCCAGAAGGCAGAUGUUGCAGUGAGCUGAGAUCCUGCCACUGUACUCCAGUCUGGGUAACAGAGUGAGACUCUGUCUCAA